rnacentral:rRNA from 1 species
UCGGACAUCAGGAGGUUAGUGCAAUGGCAUAAGCCAGCUUGACUGCGAGCGUGACGGCGCGAGCAGGUGCGAAAGCAGGUCAUAGUGAUCCGGUGGUUCUGAAUGGAAGGGCCAUCGCUCAACGGAUAAAAGGUACUCCGGGGAUAACAGGCUGAUACCGCCCAAGAGUUCAUAUCGACGGCGGUGUUUGGCACCUCGAUGUCGGCUCAUCACAUCCUGGGGCUGAAGUAGGUCCCAAGGGUAUGGCUGUUCGCCAUUUAAAGUGGUACGCGAGCUGGGUUUAGAACGUCGUGAGACAGUUCGGUCCCUAUCUGCCGUGGGCGCUGGAGAACUGAGGGGGGCUGCUCCUAGUACGAGAGGACCGGAGUGGACGCAUCACUGGUGUUCGGGUUGUCAUGCCAAUGGCACUGCCCGGUAGCUAAAUGCGGAAGAGAUAAGUGCUGAAAGCAUCUAAGCACGAAACUUGCCCCGAGAUGAGUUCUCCCUGACUCCUUGAGAGUCCUGAAGGAACGUUGAAGACGACGACGUUGAUAGGCCGGGUGUGUAAGCGCAGCGAUGCGUUGAGCUAACCGGUACUAAUGAACCGUGAGG